CCGUGUUUCCUGCAUUGGCAGGCGGAUUCUUAACCAUUGCGCCACCAGGGAAGCCCUUGUAGGUGCCAUUCUUAUGUCACUUUUACGUAUUAGGAAACUAAGGCAGAGGAUCCUUUCCUAAAGCAAAAAAAUAAACAGACAUCAUCCCCAUCUAUGAGGUCUCAUGAUACAGGUUUCCUAGACCAGAUUUGCUUAAAUCAGAAUAUGUUUGAGUGCUAUUUCUUUUAUUUAACUCAAAAUGUAAUUAUCAACUUUAACUGUUUCCAAGUCUAAAUAGUGAAGAGCAGAGAAAAAUUAAGUAAAGUACCUAUUGAGUUAAGACCAACACAACAAUGUCUUUGGAAGGGAAUUCUCUCUCUUUUUUUAAAAAUGAAUUAUACCAUUGGGUUAUUUGCCUAUGUUUUAGUAUUAAGAUGACCUUACUGUGACACAUACAAGUGUUUUGAUUGUUUUGCUCCUGGAGAGUCAGGACUCCUGGGUGCCAGCCCUGGUUCUGUCACUGUCUGUGCCAUAUCAGGUAGGUCACUUCAUCUUUCAGAAAACUGAAUCUCAGUUUUCUCAAUUGUGAAAGAUUAACCCUACGAUCCCAACAUUCCCAGAGGUUUAUAAUGACCACAGGGUAGAUCCAAGCAGCAGUUUACAAACUCAUCAUGAAGAUGAUGAGGAGAAAACUACCCAUCUUUAAUGCACAGUCAUCAACCUUCAAAACUCAGCAUUGCAUUUCGACCUGUCUGAAGGGAGAAGAGUAUAAUUGGACUGCAGAGAGGAAAAAGCCUGUAUGAAAGCUUAAUAAUAAUAAUAACCAAAAAAAAAAAAAAAAGGCAGUCUUGAGGCAUCACGACACUAAAAGCUCAUUAAGAUCUCUGUCCCAGCUAUUACACUACUAAUUGAACAGUUACCCAAAUAGAUGUACAAUCCAAUAAUGACUCAAAUUAAGGCUUCAACCUCAGAAUCUAGUAAAAACUUGUACAGUUCCUGCUCCCCCUUUAAAAAGCUGUUCUGGGCAAGCUUUGGGAAGAGAAACUGUCCUAUUGUGACUUCACUAAAGUAACAUGAAAACUCAUACAAGUCGCUCUUUUUGUUUCUUUUCCUACUGCAAAACACACCUCUCACUGUCUACUUCAUUCCUUUCAGUGCCUUUUGUUUCUUUGGUGGAAGAGGAUGCAGUUUGCCCACUCCAGUGGUGCCUGCCAUUAUCGCGUUCAGCAUUUUUCUACAGUGCCCUCUUCCAGCAGUGCCUUGGUCUGCAAGACUGGGGGUCUGAGAGAGUCCUGUCUUGCCCUCUGAAGCAAAGCUCUCUCCCUAUUGGAUAAUUGGUUUCUUGCCUAUCUAUUGGUUUUGCUUUCUCUUGCGGGGUUGUCCUUGCCAAUAUACACAUCUCAGCUAAGAAUUUUAACAGGUAAACAGUUUUGAGUUUCUCUCUACUUUUCCCUCUUCCCUCUUGUCCUGACCUUUACAGGGAAGAGGGAUGCCAGGACCCAUAGGAGGGAACCUUGGGAGGAGUAAAAAUCAAGGGAUGCCUUUGAAUAAGGGAGAGUGUACAGACUUAGAAAAUCCUCAAAGAGGUUUAAGAUUUGUACAUAGAAGAUAUUCACAAAAUGCUCAUUUCCUGUCUCUCUGGGCUGGUCACCUUUGAUGUUAAUGGAAGUUGGAGUAGUCAUCAGCUGGACCCAAGAUGAAAUCUAGAGUGACAAUAAUUUAGUUGACCACCUCCAUGAAUUGUUUCCCUUCCUUCCUAAAACUAAGGGAUGGUUUUGAGGUCAGCUUCGUAUACCUGUUGAGGAGAGCCCAGAGACCUAGAAUUCCUUUAGAUCCUUCUGUCCUCUUCAGUCUGAGCAGUGUGGCCUUCUGCACACUUUCCUUGAUCUAAGGGCCACUUAGAUCAAGGAAAGUCUAAUACACCAGGAUACUUACUGUCAAAUUACGUAAAGAGGAAGGCAGUUUAGAGAGAUGCUUCAUUCCUUGGAAUUUCAAAAAAAGGAUUUCUAACACUUUUAAAGUGAGGAAUAGCUGCCUUUUGCUUGCCUCCCAACUCCCAGCACGGAAUAAGACAGUUCACAUGUCAACCCUGCACAUACUAGCCAUGUCACAUUAUAGCAAGCCACCAACUACCCAGGGUGACUCUGAGGGCCCGAUGAGUAAACACUUAGGAAAGUGCUCUUAACUAGAAAGGUGGCUUACCAGUGUAGGUGGUUGAGUCUACAAGCGUACCCAGCUCCUCUACUGGGAAUUGAUUUACAGAAAUUAAGAGGGAAGCACAUUUUUCUGAGCUGUGUGAUUGGCAUUAUUAAACUACCUCUGUUAUAGAUGGUUGACCUCUUUAUCAACUCUGAUAUGCAUGUGAUUUCCUCACGAAUUUUCAGUUCCAGUAAGGACAUAGCAGUGGAAUGGUGUCCUUGGGAUCUGGUUUUAUUGUUGGCAUCCUCAGUUGCAACCAACAGGUCUUUUUUCAGGGACUGAAGCUGGAGCAUAAUUGUUAAGGAUAUCGCUGAGGACCAUGUUCAUCAUGUGCCCAGUAAAUAUACAUUGAAUUAAUAGCUUUGAUAUCUGCACCAGAUAUUUUAGAAUUUUGUACUUCGAUAAUACUUAGUAGUACGUCACAGUUUGGGGAAUUGAGGAGAUAAAGCUGAAGACUCUGGCUUUACUUUUUGGAUUUCAACAAUAUCUCCACAUCUCGUAGGGCCAUAGCUGUGGGUUGCUGUGUCUUGAACCAUAGAUGGGCUGUCGUCUUCUGGGGCAGAAGGCACUGCUUAGGUUGUUGCUUCCUUAACAUUCUGGCAAACACUUCCACUAUUUUUAAGGCACAGUAUAGUUCAUGCCUGUUUGUGCUGGACUUCGGGUCGAAUGGCCUCUAUUUACCUCUGGAUGGUUUGACUGAAAGCCUUUAUUAUUGAAACCUUGAGGUUUGGCACAUUCUCAAAGGUGUCAAGUUUCUCUUGCGACUUUUGACCUUUGAUGCUACAACUAGAUUUUCCAUUGAUGAGCAAAUGAUGCGUCUGCUGUUAGAGAAAUGACUAUACUCUCUUGGAUUGGGUUAUAUGGCAAACUCUAACCGGUGAUCAGCACAUUUAGAAUGGUUUGAGAACACAGAUUUGGUUUCAGUCCCCAGCUAAAGGUUUGGAUGAUAAUCUGAAUUGGACUCGUCAGAUCUCGAUCUGGACCAUUGAAUUUGCAACACAAAGCUCAAAACCUCGAGAGGGAAGACUCUUGACAUUUCUGUUCAUGCCAGCUUCCCAUCAGGAAGUUCAGCGAAAUGUCCUCAGGCCUUUUGGCACAUCUGGUUCUGUUCCAGGUCCAGGUUGUGGUUUCUUUGAAAGUAGUAGGUGUAGGUGGUAGGUACCUGGUACAUGGAAACUGGCCACCAAAUUGCAGAGUUAAUGUUUCGGAACCACUGCAGGCCUAGGAGAGAGGGCUAAAGGAUUUGCAUUCCCUUAACCCUUUGUUGUGUCCUCUUGGAAGAGAGAGAACUUCAUCAGGAAUGAUUGGUUGCUUCAGGUGAAUUACAGAAACACUGAUCAAAUGUUCCCCACCCCAUCCCGUACAGUGUCUUAAACUUGAACGUGGCUGCGUAUUACCUGGGUAUCUUGUGAAAUGGAAGAUUCACAUUUAGUAGGUCUGGGCGGAGCCUGAGAUGACACGUCUCACAAGCUCCAGGUAAUGUUGAUUCUGCUGGACCAUAAACUGUGAAUAUUUUUGAGAAGCAAAGCCCCAUUUUCAAAGCACUGUGCCAAGUGUAGGGAAUACAAAUGUGAAUAGAAGCGGAAGAGAAGGCUGUUACCUUUAGGCAACCACCUGGUGGCCGGGAGACAGCCAGGUAAAUGGUAUUCAUUCCACAAGUACUCAGGGCAGAGACUGAGCUGAAUGGAGCCUACUGGGCUCUGAACUGGGCCUUAGAGGUGAAUAGGAGGAGACCAGGUAGGGAAGCCAGAAAAGAAUAUCUUAGGCAGAAAUAAGAACCUGGGCAAGAAGAGAAAUCAAAUACAAGCUUGUCGUCUUUCUGCAGAGGAGACCUCUAAAAUAGUGCCCAGCUCAUUCCCAGGCCUGGGCGGGGGGUGAGAGGGGGGAUGAAGCCUAUGAAAGCACAGAACCUUCCUGUGGCAAGUAGACAGUCGCUCACAUCCAAGGGCACCAGGCCGUCCUUCUGCUGUGCAAUAUAAUUAGAGCAUUUGAGGCAUGCAGUCGAGAGAAGCACCAAGCGGAGGGGAUUGUGAGCCAGCCGAAGCUGUGAAAAAGUCCAGCAAUCCCAUUCUCAGCACUAUUUGCAACCUUGCUGUUAUUUCUUGUGGAUUGACCAAACGGAUGUUUUGCUUUAUGCUUUUUUUUUUUUUUGGUGUAUUUUCUUCCUCCUUUCCUCCCUCCUCCCACCCCCGCUUCCUCCCCUCCCCCCACCCCGCCCGCUUCCUCCCUUUCUCCCUCCCUCCUCCCUUCCUUAUCUGAAAACUCAGAGUGAAACUCAGGCAGAGUGCACCACUUCCCCAGGGUUUUUCCUCUCCAUCCUGCUGCCCACCUCUGCUUCACUCCAAUCCCACCAUCCCCUGGAAUUCCACCCAGAAAUGAGAACAGUUUACAUUGCACAUACUUGCAGGUCUCUUCUCACAUUUGAGCUCCACACCGUCCCAUCAAACUCUGAUCUGAUAGGGGGAGUCCAAGCAUUGCAAUCCAACAGGUACUCAAAAAAAUCUCACGUGGUCUUUCUCUUUUACUGCGUAUAUCUGGCCUUGCCUGCCCACUAACCAGUAGGGUGGCCCAGAACAUACCUUGCCAUACUGUAGCAGCAACAAUUUGCUUAGAAACUUACACAGCUCUCAUUUUGAAGCCUUGCACUGGCAAGUAAUUAGGGCAGGAACCAGCAUUCUUAUCCGCAUUUAACAGGUGGAAAAACUGAGGCCCAGGAAGCCACAGCUCCUAAGUGGUGGUCCAAGGAUAUGAAUACAGUGUUCUGACCUUCUGUCAUACACGAUCCGGCCCUGCAGUAAUCUUUAGUCCACCCUCACAACAAUCCAGGUUUCAAAGAGACUGAGAGAGGCUAAAGAACUUCCUGAGGUCAGUGAAUUCCAAACUUAGGAUGCAAACCCCACACUUUCUGAUCUCAGAGUCCCCACUUUUACCCUGAGGCCAUAGAGCUUCUUAUAUCAUUCUGCAGUCCAUUGCAGUCCAUUCCGCCUUCACUUCACUUCUCUCUGUGAAAUGGAGAUGCUGUCUGUGAUCUGUAAGACCUCUUCCCAGCUGUAAAAGGCUGUGAUCAUGUCAUUUCGGCUUGGAAACCAGAGUUCUUCGCUGCCAGCUUCUAUUCAGUGCUAAUCAUGUUGCUUAAUUAUGUUUAACUCGGAGUGUGUUUCACCGCAGCUGUCAACACACUUCAGUUUGUCGCGCUGAUGAAGUCGAUAGCUGCAUGAUAGCACCUGUGUGCCAUUUUGCAGGGUGUAUUCAGCAGCCAGGCAGACCUUCUCCUUGGCUACAUGCUACCAUGUUCUGUCUUGAUGCCAGCUUAGUUCCUCUGUUUACACUGGACAGAAACGGCCAUACCUUCAGCUACAAAUACCCAGAAAGCAACAUCGGUAACUUUUGGCCGAGUGAAAACCACUGGUUGUAUUCCAGACUCUGGCAGGUUGUGUCGAUGGGGUGCUCAAGGUGAAGAGAGCAAAGACUCAUAUAUGACACAUUACUUCCAUGUUGAGGGCACAAGCAAAGAGAAUUUCAGUCUCGGGCUUCUCCAUGGUAAGUCCAACUCCUGGGUUGCUCCCCCUGUGAUUGAAAUCUCUGCCCAUUGUUUCCCUUCAAGCUUCAGGGGGGUGCCACCUUAUCUAGAAAGCUCUCCCCCAACAUGUUCUGUCUAUGCUCACACUUCGCCUGUAUGUCCCUGAAUUUCCAUGAAUCAUAGCCCUUGCCCCACUGUAAUGAAAAUGUCUUUCAUUAUUUUUCUGGCUGAGGGCAGCAGCCAUAUGUCAUUUACCCCUGGAUGUAUUCCCACUAAAUGUUUGUUGAAUGAAGAGUGAAUGAAUGAAUGAAUGAAGCCAUCACUUUCUCAGUGUUCAGAUUAGGAAUAAGAGUUUCCUUUGUCUUUCUGAUGUUCUUCCAUUAUUCCUCCUCUUUCCUCUUCUGGCACAUUUGCUCAAAGUUUAUCCAAUCAUUUGAUCUCUGCUCUGAGCCUUCUUCCAAGCUCCUCUACAGACAGAAUAGCAUCCCUUUUCCCUCUUGUUUUCUUACCCUGUACACUCCUCUGAUGGGCCAGGCUCUCUGUCCUCCACCUCUGAAAUGAUACCUCAAACUUUGCCAAUUCGCUGUGUUCUGUGGCCAGAAAAGGGACAGCACUUUCUCUGUUACCCUAUUUGAAAUAAACAUGCAAUUUCCAGGACUAGUCUGUCUUCACACUUUACAGGAUACUCUGUUCUUUCCCCUCGAUCCAGACAAAAUGUAAAAUUCUAUACAUAUGUAUUUUCCAAGUUGUAAAAUUACCAAUUCAUUUGCAUCACUGACUUUUCCAAAAUCUGUCUUUUUCAAUUAAUAUUUAGGUAUUAUCUAGGGACCUUUCUGGUUCUAAAACAAAAAUUUUAAAGUCAGUAACUCUGCAGAUCAGGGAUGGCUCUCCAUUCAGGGGAUCUGCUACCAGACCUUCUACCUUAAUAGGUGACUUGUUGGUCGAAGGGAGACUUGGUCAGUGUGAAUACAUAGGGUGUUAUUGCCAGGGAGAGAGUUGGGAGGGAAAUAAGAUAUUGAGUAGUGAGAGGCCUCUGGGGGGGGGGUCUUCCUCCUUAAUAUACAAAACCUACCGUGUCACUUAAUUGUGGCCUCAAGGGUGCCAGGAAGGGAGUCUUACCCGAGCUUUUCUCAUCAUCUCCCAUAAUUUACUUCUCCACCUGAUGGGUUUCCUGGGUUGGUGAUGAUGACCUUCAGACCUUUUAAGGGCUGUGGUUGGUGAGGAGGAAUCAUGCAGCCAUAUUUACCUUCAGUGGGUUUAAGGAUCUCUUGAUAUUGCUAAAAGUUUAAGAUUCCCAGGCCCUUCAUCAGGAUUCCUGAUUCAAUAUGCAUGGAAUCAGCCCAGAAAUCUGCAUUUUAGUUAUUUGCAGUUCAGAUUUAAUACAGGAAGAAGUUUUUUUAAUAACCAAACCUUGCAGAAGAAUGAGCGAUAAAAUGUAAGACACCACACGUUUGUCCUCCAAAACUGGAAUUACAGUCUACCUGCAUGACGGGAGAACCAUGGCAGCGUAAACUCAAACGUAACUCUGAAAUUCAAAAAAAAAAAAAAAAAACCCAAACAUAACUCUGCAUCAGUUUCUGCUGGUGCCCUCCUUCAUAAUUAUAUCACUAAAUCUGACCAGUUCCACCGGGUGGAAUUCUACCGCGCUGAUUCUUAACUUUUAGGGGACAGGUUAGAGCAGAGUGGCAAAGACCCGUUGGAAAAUCUGGUGAAGGCACAAACAUCUUAUGCCCUAAGUAUGGAUUCCUUUGGCAAGGGGGAUGGGAAAGAUAAGGAAUCCAUAUAUGUCAAGUGAAAAAAUCUUGCCCCUGACGAGCAUUGCUUCUCUCCUCAGUACGGUUCCCUGUAGCUAUAGACAGAAGAAGCGCCGAGGAAUGAAUCAGAAGUUAUGCAGGCGCGUAGACAGUCUGUCACGUGGUUUCCACGUUACCAUAAAAGUCGAUUGUAAAUUUUCGCAGUCCUGCUAGGCUGUGUUUCUCUCACUCUCGUUUGCACCAUGAAAGGCUGGGAGACAUCUCAUUCCUUUGAUAGCCAGUGCUCCAGGAAACUUGAAAGAACAGAUUUCUCCCAUGUCUUACCAAUGAGUUACAUGCAGGCUAAUAAAGCAGCUAGUGCCAGCAGCAUCGUCAGUGUGGUCAGUCACACAGACGAAUGUGAUCUUAAGCUCUGCCCCAGAUCCUGAGCCCGAGUCAGCUACUUUUGGAUUACUAUGCUAUGCUCAAAACUUCUACAAGCGUCUUUUCCAGAUGUAUUUACCGGGGUCAAGUUCAGAACUUUAGAAAGAAAAUCCUGGUUGCUAUGUUGGGUGAUUCUCUAUGUUUGGGAGUGUCACUGAUACUACAAUUGAUUUCCUUCAGUUCACUCAGCAAAUACAGUGUUGGCACAUGCUGGACCCUGGGGAGACCUCAUGGGAAAUGUGGUAGAGCCCUGGCCCUCAGGGGGAGGAGACAUUAUCAGAAACCACUUCCCCCUUCUUCAGAACCGUCCAGUGAUGCAGAAGAAAAGUUCUCGAACUUCUAUCUGGUUGGCACAGUGAUCUUGUUGACAAAGGUUGGAGAGAGGAAAACUUGUGAGGAAGAAAAAUCGCACACACAGAGCCUUCAACCAAAGUCACUGAAUUGUCCUCAAUAAAGGAAAGCUUGCAGAA